CUAGACGCCGUGUGUUCUGCGGUUGCUGCCGCCUUCCUGGACGACGUACUUGCUCCAGAACCAGUGUCGGCUCCAGACGAGGUUCAUCUCGUCGAUGGGAACCCCCUUGGUCUCUGGCAGGAAGAGGGCGAUGAAGGUCGUCAUGAUGACCAUCCACGCCGCAAAGAAGUAGAAGAGGCCGAACUUGAGGUGACAGAGCAUGGUGAGGAACGCCUGCCCAAUGAUGAAGGUGAGCGUCAUGUUGACGCACACGGCAAUGCUCUGCCCUGCCGACCUGAUCUCAAGCGCAAACACCUCGCUGGGCACGAGCCAGCCCAGCGGCCCCCACGACCAUGCGAACCCGGCAACGUAGAGGCAAAUGAAUAG
rnacentral:rRNA from 1 species